rnacentral:rRNA from 1 species
GACGAACGCUGGCGGCGUGCCUAAUACAUGCAAGUAGAACGCAGUUGCGAACGGGUGAGUCACGCGUAGGUAACUGCCUCAUAGCGGGGGAUAACUAUUGGAAACGAUAGCUAAUACCGCUUACUGUGGGAUGGACCGGUGUUGUAUUAGCUAGAGGGUGAGGUAAAGGCUCACCAAGGCCACGAUACAUAGCCGGCCUGGGAGGGUGAGCGGCCCCACUGGGACUGAGACAAGGCCCAUACCUCUACGGGAGGCAGCAGUAGGGAAUUUUCGGCAAUGGACGGAAGUCUUGCCGAGCAACGGCGGGUGGGUGAAGAAGGGUUUCGGAUCGUAAAGCUCCGUUAUUAGAGAAGCGUUAACUAAACAGAAAGGGACGGCUAACUACGUGCCAGCAGCCGCGGUAAUAC